GACGAACGCUGGCGGCGUGCUUAACACAUGCAAGUCGAACGGAAAGGCCCUGCUUUUGUGGGUUGCUCGAGUGGCGAACGGGUGAGUAACACGUGAGUAACCUGCCCUUGACUUUGGGAUAACUUCAGGAAACUGGGGCUAAUACCGGAUAGGAGCUCCUGCUGCAUGGUGGGGGUUGGAAAGUUUCGGCGGUUGGGGAUGGACUCGCGGCUUAUCAGCUUGUUGGUGGGGUAGUGGCUUACCAAGGCUUUGACGGGUAGCCGGCCUGAGAGGGUGACCGGCCACAUUGGGACUGAGAUACGGCCCAGACUCCUACGGGAGGCAGCAGUGGGGAAUAUUGCACAAUGGGCGGAAGCCUGAUGCAACAACGCCGCGUGCGGGAUGACGGCCUUCGGGUUGUAAACCGCUUUCGCCUGUGACGAAGCGUGAGUGACGGUAAUGGGUAAAGAAGCACCGGCUAACUACGUG
rnacentral:rRNA from 1 species